rnacentral:rRNA from 1 species
UGGUUGAUCCCGCCGGAGGCUACCGCUAUUGGAGUUCGAUUAAGCCAUGCGAGUCGCGAGAAAUUAGAUUCUCGGCGUACCGCUCAGUAACACGUGGGUAACCUGCCCUAUGCUGGAUAAUAACCUCGGGAAACUGAGAAUAAUGAUCCAUAGUUCACUACGCCUGGAACGGUGAGUGGAUGAAAGCUCCGGCGGCAUAGGAUGGGCCUGCGGCGUAUCAGGUUGUAGGGGGUGUAACGUACCCUCUAGCCCUCUACGCGUACGGGUGUUGGGAGACAUAGCCCGGAGAUGGAUUCUGAGACACGAAUCCAGACCCUACGGGGUGCAGCAGGCGCGAAAACUUGGCAAUGCGAGAAAUCGUGACCAGGGAACUCCAAGUGCAUCGGGUAAGACCGGUGCUUUUCUUGACUCUAAAUAGGUCUUGGAAUAAGGGGUGGGUAAGGACGGUGCCAGCCGCCGCGGUAAUACCGGCGCCUCAAGUGGUAGUCGCUUUUAUUGGGCCUAAAACGUCCGUAGCCGGUCUGAUACAUUCGUGGGUAAAUCAACCAGCUUAACUGGUUGAAUUCUGCGAGGACGGUCAGACUUGGGACCGGGAGAGGUGUGGGGUACGCUCAGGGUAGGGGUAAAAUCCUGUCAUCCUGAGCGGACCACCUGUUGCGAAGGCGCCACACUAGAACGGAUCCGACGGUCAGGGACGAAGCCUAGGGGCACGAACCGGAUUAGAUACCCGGGUAGUCCUAGGUGUAAACGCUGUGGACUUGAUGUUGGAGGAGCUCCGAGCUCUUUCAGUGUCGAAGCGAAGGUGAUAAGUCCACUGCCUGGGAAGUACGGUCGCAAGGCUGAAACUUAAAGGAAUUGGCGGGGGAGCACCGCAACCUGAGGAUUGUGCGGUUUAAUUGGAGUCAACGCCGGA